UGAGAAUUUGAUCCUGGUUCAGGACGAACGCUGGCAGUGUACCUUAAGCAUGCAAGUCGAACGGUGAAAUCUUUAGCCGCAAGGUUAGAGAUGGAGCAGUGGCAGACGGGUGAGGAAUGGCAGGAAUCUACCUUUUUGUGGGGAAUAGCUAGCCGAAAGGCUAAUUAAUACCGCAUAAGUCCGCAAGGAGAAAGACCUUAACCGGUCGCAGAAAGAUGAGCCUGUUCGCUAUCAGCUAGUUGGUGAGGUAAUGGCUCACCAAGGCUAUGACGGCUAGGGGGCGUGAGAGCGUGGCCCCCCACAAUGUUACUUAGACACGGAGCAUACAUCUACGGAUGGCAGCAACUGGGAAUUUUGCACAAUGGACGAAAGUCUGAUGCAGUGACACUGCGUGUGGGAUGAAGGCCCUCGGGUCGUAAACCACUGUGAUAGGGGAAAAAUACCGAUGGUACCCUAUUAGAAAGCACCUGCUAACCACGUGCCAGAAGCCUCGGUAAUACGUGGGGUGCAAGCGUUGUCCGGAUUUAUUGGGCGUAAAGAGUAUCGUAGGC
rnacentral:rRNA from 1 species